ACUGAGGUAAGUUUUCAAUCCCCAUUGACAAUGCUCAACAGAAGUUGGUGAUGCCCUGUUUUGAAGGUUUUUUUUUUUUUUUUGGUUGACACGGGGGUAUCCUGACUUACACCAGACUAAUCCCCUGCGGUGGUGCAAAGUUCGCCCCAAAGAUGCACCACACGAUGGACAAGCAAGAAUCGAAACGGUGACCUCCAGGUAGAACUUAGAGAGCCAACCAGCGAACUACCCGCUUGGGGGCUGCCAUGUUUUGAAGUUGAUGAGUGGUUUUUAUGUGUGAUGGGAUUUGAUGCGUCUCUUGAAUUACCCAUAUGUCUUGUAGAAGCUGCAGCUCCAGAAGCAGAGCAGUCCAAAAUUCUGAUUUCCUAAAGCCUAAAACAUCAUCAACAGAAUAGAUUACAUGAACUCUGUUUCCUGUUAACACCAUAACCUUCUCUGAAUAGUUAAUGGCAUUACUAAAAUAUACCAUCUUAGCUACAAGACUCAAUGGAUGCAUAGUUUUAUAAGCACUACAAAAUAUUCAAAAACAGAUUUUUUUUUUUUUUUUUUGGCUUAGAGACAGGACAUUAAAUGAACUCUCUUCAAACCAAAAGUUAGACAAACCAACAUUAUGUAAAUGUAGGGAAAUUCUUUAAUUGUCUUAUAUAACACCAAAUACUCUUUACCAAAAUGUAAAAUCUACCCAUUAUUAUAGAUAAUAGGUCUCUUAAACCCAAUUAGUCUGUAUGCUUAAGUAUCUAAUGAAAUUAAACCCGAAAUUGAACUAGAAUACCUUUCUAAUUUGAUCAACACUAUCGACUGCAUUAAUUAUUUUGGAUAGAAAUCAUCAUUUUAUACGUGAAAAAAAUUAUAUAUAUUAUCACACGUCAUAGAAACAACAAAUCUUAAGAUGAAUUUUCUCCAAAAAAUAUUUAGAAAAUGCAAAAAAAUCAUCAAACAUGUCACAGAAAUAAUAAAUCUAAAGGUAAAAUUUUCUUCAAAAACUACGCAGAAAAUACAAUCCAAACGGGCUCUUAAGUUUUCUUCAAAAACUAUUCAAAAAAUGCAAUCCGAACAGGCUCUCUCAUGUGGAUUGCUAUUUUCAAGAGUCUUUGUAGAGUAAUAUACCGUAGAGAUUUAAUAUACGUAAAUAAAAAAAAAGAUAAUUAAAAAAGUGUUAACAAAAAUCUAAAAAUUUUUUCAUGGAAAAUCAGGGUCCAAACAAGGUACGGUAUUUGCCGCCAUUAAUGUGGAGUCUUGUGUACACUCCACACUUGACUGGAGUACUUCUUGUCUGUGUAAUUGCAUCUACCCUUUACCUGUUCUCUGCUGGUUUCAGGUAAGAAGUACCAUAUUCUCGUCACAUUUGUAUCUUCAGAAACCAAAUAAGCACAGGAGGUAAGCCACCGAUUCUUCACCUUCUGACAACCCUUUUGUUUCCUAAUUUCUGUUUUUCAUUUUUUUCCCCUGUUCUUUAGGUUUUGGAUGGGUUCUUGAGACCAAAAAAAGCCAAAAGCAGCAGCCGGAAACCCAACAUCUUUGCUGCUGCAGCAGCCCAGUCAAUUGCCGGAAAAUCAAAACUCAUCCUCGGAGCUCCAGGUCAUGGACCCUUCUCCUUCUCCUCCUGUUCAUCAUUUUGCAGCAGCGAGUGUUAUAGGCAACAAUGAAGAAAUCUUAACAUGUCUUUUACUUACUUAACCCCGAAAUCCCUGGGAAGGAUUUGAUGUAUAUUUAUUUUGUGAAUGGAGUGUUGUGUGAUGGUGAUCUUCAAUGGCUAAGUGGAUGGAGGGACCCUCUGUGUUGAUCCAGACAAAGAAUGCCUUGACAAUUUUUUUUCUUCAUAUGCAUUACAGUAAGUGGGAUAUUUGGUACUUUGGAGUGUCUGGAGGCUGUUUGUAUCUUAUUGAGGUUAAUGACCCACAACGGCUAUUCUUUGACAUUUUUGAGAUGAAAAGGGACCAUUCUGAAUGGGUUUUGAAGUAUCAUAUAGACCUCAAUCCUCUUUCAAUUUUAUAACCUUCAAUGGUGGACGAAGGCCUUAUUUCAUUUGAUGAAGAUCAAUGUAGAUUUUGUAUACCUUACUUGGUUGAGGAUGAGAAAGAAAGGAAACCGAGACUUGUGAUUGCUCUGCUGGGUAAGGUAAUUUUAUAUGAGAUCAAGGAUAUGGUUUUUAAGGAGCUUGUUGAAGUAGGGCCUGUGGAUGUUGAUCAUGAGUGGAAAUGUAACCCUUAUUACUGGACAGAUGCUUGCCGGUUUGUGGAGACUCUUGCUAGUGUUUGAUUGUUAUCUAUAACAUGCUAUUAUAUGUAUCAAGGGGCUGCCUUGAUGUACUAAAUAAUAUCCUCCUGGUUGAAUAUUCAACAGUAUCAUUACAUUGUAUGAAGUUCCAUAUUUUCUUGAUCUGUGUGGCCUCAUAUGUCAAAUGAUCAGAGGAGCUCCAAAACCAAUAAGCAAAAGCCAGAACCCCAGCUACUCUGCUGCAGCAACAAACUAGCCAAUUGCCCAAAAUAAAUAACUCAGCCUUGAAACGCCAAGUCAUGGAACCUUCUGAUUCUCCUUCUGCUCCUCUUAAUCAUUUUGCAGCAAUUAUUAUAGGCAACAACGAGGAAAUCUUAAAGCAUCUUUUACUUCACUUAGCCCCAAAAUCCCUCAUUCGAUUUCAACCCGUCUCCAAGCAAUGGCAUUCUCGAUUUUAUCCCACCACCACAAAGACAACUUCCUCCUCUGGCACUGCUGCAGACUCUGGAGCCUUUGUUUUCAUCCACCACAAGCGGGGGACAGGCUUAAUUUCAUUUCCUUCCACCAAGAAAAUGCAAGUUCAGUGGGUACCACAGUUUCCAACUUGAGCAAUUUCAUUUCCUUUCAAGAUGGGCAGUUUCAGGAUUUCAUUAUUGCAAUGGGUUAUUAGUUCUUGUGUUUCAAUCAAAAGAUGAUGGUCACAAAGACUUUCUUGUGUAUAACCCUACUAGCAGUCAGCAGAGGCAUAUUCCAAGGAUCAAUCUAUUGGAAAGGGAACGUUGCUUUGUGGCUCUGAACAUUGUGUUUCAUCCCAUAGAAUCUGAUGGCUACAAAGUUGUCUGUGUAUGGUCAGAACGUUACAUGCCAAGGAAUGACAUGAGUCGAACCCCUUUAAGGAGAUAUGGAUUCUCUAUAUAUUCAUCUGAAACUGGGACUUGGAAGGACGCUAAGGCCAUAUAUGGGAGGGACUUUGUGUAUAUUUAUUUCAUGAAUGGAAUGUUGUGUAAUGGUGAUCUUCAUUGGGUAAGUGGUAGGAGGGAGACUUUAUGCUUUGAUUUAGAUAAACAAUGCCUUAACUUAACCGUGCCUUCUCCUCGUAUGCAUCAUAGUGAGUCGGAUAUUUGGUACUUUGGAGUGUCUUGAAGCUGUUUGUAUCUUAUUGAGGUCAAUUGCCCACAAGCGCUGUUGUUCGACAUUUUUGAGUUGAAAAGGGACUAUUCUGAAUGGGUUUUGAAGUGUCAAACAGACCUCACUCCUGUUACAACUUCGUAUCCUUCAGUGGUGGAUGAAGUUUCUGGUCCGUUCGGUGAUGGUCGAUGCAGAUUUUGUAUAACUUGUUUUCGUGAGAAUGAUGAGAAAAAGCCGAGGCUUCUGAUUUCUCUGUUGGGGAAGGUAAUUUUAUAUGACGUUGAAGAUCUGCCUGUUAAGGAGCUUGUUGAAGUGGGGCCAUCGGAUAUUGAUCAUGGCUGGAAGAGUAACUAAUGGGUGUGGAGUUACGUGUCAAGAUAAUUUCAAAUGCUAAUUUCUUUAGUAAGAAUAAAAUUAAUUUGGAAAAGUAUCUAAAUUGAAGAGGUAAUUAAUAUAAUUGUGUAUAUUCACAUUGUAAUUUUGUUUGGCGUAUGGUAAAUUAAGUGUAAUUAAAGUGUUGGGAGCACUUGUCAGAAAAACCUUUGGUAAAUUGGAAUUAAGAAUAGCAUGAAUCAUAACAUGAAGUCCCAAUGGAGGUUAGUAUGAUGUGCAUUUGAUCUUACCAACAAACCUCAUAAAAAAAGGCUGUAUUUGUUUGCAUAUCGAAUUUAAGUAAGUCAGAGAAGCAGAGUUAUCAAAA